rnacentral:rRNA from 1 species
UACGGAGGGUGCGAACGUUUAAUCGGAAUUACUGGGCGUAAAGCGCACGUAGGCGGUUCGCUAAGUGGGAUGUGAAAGCCCUGGGCUCAACCCGGGAACUGCAUUUCAGACUGGCGGACUAGAGUACGGUAGAGGGCGGUGGAAUUCCUGGUGUAGCGGUGAAAUGCGCAGAUAUCAGGAGGAACACCUAUUGCGAAGGCAGCUCGCUGGGACGUUACUGACGCUGAGACGCGAAAGCGUGGGGAGCAAACAGG